rnacentral:rRNA from 2 species
GCAACGGAUAUCUCGGCUCUUGCAUCGAUGAAGAACGUAGCAAAAUGCGAUACUUGGUGUGAAUUGCAGAAUCCCGUGAACCAUCGAGUCUUUGAACGCAAGUUGCGCCUGAAACCAUUAGGUUGAGGGCACGUCUGCCUGGGUGUCACACAAUGUUGUC